rnacentral:rRNA from 1 species
AGCUCGUGUCGUGAGAUGGUUAGGUUACGUCCGACAACGAGCGACCAACCCUACGUUUAGUUGCCAGCGGGUAAUGCCGGGGACUCUAGCGAAACUGCCGGUGUAAACCGAGAGGAAGUGGGAUGACGUCAAAUCAGCACGGCCCUUAUGUCCAGGGCUACACACGUGUUACAAUGGCCGGUACAGAGGGCAGCUACCUGGAGACAGGAUGCGAAUCUCGAAAGCCGGUCUCAGUUCGGAUCGGAGUCUGCAACUCGACUCCGUGAAGCUGGAUUCGCUAGUAAUCGCGCAUCAGCCAUGGCGCGGUGAAUACGUUCCCGGGCCUU